rnacentral:rRNA from 1 species
GACGAACGCUGGUGGCGUGCUUAACACAUGCAAGUCGAACGGAAAGGCCCUGCUUUUGUGGGGUGCUCGAGUGGCGAACGGGUGAGUAACACGUGAGUAACCUGCCCUUGACUUUGGGAUAACUUCAGGAAACUGGGGCUAAUACCGGAUAGGAGCUCCUGCUGCAUGGUGGGGGUUGGAAAGUUUCGGCGGUUGGGGAUGGACUCGCGGCUUAUCAGCUUGUUGGUGGGGUAGUGGCUUACCAAGGCUUUGACGGGUAGCCGGCCUGAGAGGGUGACCGGCCACAUUGGGACUGAGAUACGGCCCAGACUCCUACGGGAGGCAGCAGUGGGGGAUAUUGCACAAUGGGCGGAAGCCUGAUGCAGCAACGCCGCGUGCGGGAUGACGGCCUUCGGGCUGUAAACCGCUUUCGCCUGUGACGAAGCGUGAGUGACGGUAAUGGGUAAAGAAGCACCGGCUAACUACGUG